AAACCUCAAGGUUGCAGUUGCUGUAACUUGUUCAUGGCUUAUCUUUCGAAACCCAAUCUCAAUGAUGAAUGCUGUUGGAUGUGCUAUAACACUUGUGGGAUGUACAUUCUAUGGGUACGUGAGGCACAUGCUCUCACAACAAACACCAGGCACUCCCCGAACACCACGGACCCCCAGAAAAAGUAUGGAGUUUGUCCCUCUAGUAAACGAGAAAUUAGAGGAUAAAGUCUAAUGUCGGGUGUACUCGAAACAUGAACUGGCUAAAAGUUUGGUAUAGAAGAAACGAACCGUUCAUUGUUGUCUAAUUACUGUUUAGGUAAAAUCGAAUUCAGGAUCUUUUAUUCAACUUAUUUAUUUUACCUUCCAUCCCCUGCUCCGGAUUGGCUUAG
rnacentral:misc_RNA from 1 species